AGCAGCAGCCACGGUAAUACGUAGGUGGCAAGCGUUGUCCGGAAUUAUUGGGCGUAAAGGGCUCGCAGGCGGUUUCUUAAGUCCGAUGUGAAAGCCCCCGGCUCAACCGGGGAGGGUCAUUGGAAACUGGGAAACUUGAGUGCAGAAGAGGAGAGUGGAAUUCCACGUGUAGCGGUGAAAUGCGUAGAGAUGUGGAGGAACACCAGUGGCGAAGGCGACUCUCUGGUCUGUAACUGACGCUGAGGAGCGAAAGCGUGGGGAGCGAACAGGAUUAGAUACCCCCGUAGUCCCUGUCUCUUAUAC
rnacentral:rRNA from 1 species